CCUGGGUCGUUCGGUUGACGGCAGUGGAAAGCGUAUGACAAAUCCAUUGAUCUUCGCAAGUCCUAUGGGAAGGGACCUGGCGCAAGACAACUACUGCAGGCACAGGCCAGGAACAGGGCCUUUGCACAGGGACGGGUAGCACAGGAG